rnacentral:rRNA from 1 species
ACUGAAUAGAUACCCGGGUAGUCCACGCUGUAAACGAUGUCAACCUAGCUGUUGGUUGCAUGAAAAACGCGAUUAGUGGCGCAGCAAACGCGAUAAGUUGACCGCCUGGGGUAGUACGGUCGCAAGAUUAAAACCUCAAAGGAAUUGACGGGGGUCCCGCACAAGCGGUGGAGCAUGUGGUUUAAUUCGAUGCAACGCGAAGAACCCUUACCGUACCCGUUGACAUACAGUGGAGCUUACAGAGAUGUGAGUGUGCCUUCGGGUAACCACUGAUACAGGUGCUGCAUGGCUGUCGUCAGCUCGUGUCGUGAGAUGUUGGGUU